CAUCAAGGAUGAUAUGAUGACAACUUUGAUGA
ensembl:snoRNA SNORD15 Small nucleolar RNA SNORD15